GAUCAUCCCAGAUACACCCCAUGAUGGCCGUGUCAUCUGCAAACUUCUGAAUAUGGCAUAAUUCAGAGUUGUAGCAGAAGUCAGAGGUGUACAGGGUGAAGAGAAGAGGGGACAGCACAGUUCCCUGUGGUGCUCCUGUGCUGCUGACCCUGUCGGAGACCACAGCUGUAGCUGAGUGCAGAAUCUCCACCCACCUACUGUUCAAACUACCUGAAAGACAUCAAAUCAAAAGCCUUAAACGAAGCAAGGAGGAGAGAGAAAAAGGCUCAUUUCAGGCAGCGAAUGAACUGAGAGUUUGCACCAAGUAUGGUGUAAAUAAUGAAUGUUUUUAAACUUCAAUGCAAAGAAAAUCUGGUGGUGUCUAUGCAUAAAAAUGUGCAACAGGAAAUGAGCAUAAUAGGUUCUCUAGAAACAUUCCAGCUCUAUAGUGACAAAGUCUGUGAGAAAGGGAUCAUUUCAGGGAAUUCACAAAGUUAUUGUCAUGUGUCAUGGGCGCUGUCGCCGGGCGUCACUCCUUCCCGAAACCGGAUGAGUGUUUCCAGGUGGGCGAUUCAGGGAUGUGAUUGUUCCGACACUGUCUGGCCUUCAUGUGAGAUAAUAGUUUUUGACUCUAUAGCUCAUGUUGCCUUUGACUUGAUGUUUUUUUGUUUUGUUUUGUUUUUUUAGAAACUUCACAGAGAGGCUGUCCAUUAAAAAUUACACAGCACAGUAAUGGGGUGACCUUUAUAGCCAAGCAACAUUUUUCUUUUGAUCUUGUCCUGCUAGCGGUCUGACGAUACUUAAACUGAAUAGUUUUAGUACACACUGGACAGGAAUCCCUGCUCUCUGUACUCAGCUACCAUCAAGAAGUCUUCAAAUUGACUUCUCUAGGAGCAGAUUUGCAUGCAGACCAACAGUAGCUACUUAAAACAAGCAUUACUCUUUAAGCUGCAGUUGAGGAAGUCUGCUGCUUCUCUUCUUCUAAACUACACACAUUCCCUCUUCCUAAUGACCCUGACAGAGACAAUUACAGUAGACCUACAGGGAAUAAGCAGGCAAGAUUUCCAUUUAGAUUUGAGACUUAGGCUUUCUGAAUAGCUCGUACACAGGGGACUGUAUGUGUUUGUGAGAAAUUACAGCUCCAUCAAAGAGUAACAGAUAAUGCAGCCAUGAGAGCGUUUUAGUUGCUUAUUGAGAGCAUAGAUCCAAGUUUUCUCUCGUCAUACUUGACUCUUCUCACUUGCUUUCUGUGGCAAAUUUCUUUUUUUCUAGACGCUUGGACCAAUAAACGAGAAUAAAUCAGCUUCCCUGAAACAUUUUGUUCCGUGUUGACUUCUCUCUCUCUCUCUCUCUCCCUGUCUCUCGCUUCGUCUUUGAGUAGCACAAUGAAUCUCCCAGAUGAGGUGCAGUCACAGAAAGCAGCUCUGAGGGAGGUUAUGCCACGUAGAGAGAAUUUGGUCAGUGGAGAGGCUUUUUAUUAAAGCGCUCCGUCUUUUUGGACAGGGUGCAGGUCAGACAGGCUGCCAGACCCGAAUCUCUGUGCUGAUUGUGUUUUAGCCUCAACAUGCAGUCCAGAUUGGGAGCAUUGGAACAGUUGCAUGUUUCAUUCUUCAAACUCGGCGUCUCUCUGCAACAUUCACUUUCAGAUCAAAUAAAAAAUACACUAAAGGGCCAAGUUUCAUCUUUAAGUUCAC
ensembl:lncRNA